AUGGCCUGGAUCCCUCUCCUGCUCCCCCUCCUCAUUCUCUGCACAGUCUCUGUGGCCUCCUAUGAGCUGACACAGCCAUCCUCAGUGUCAGUGUCUCCGGGACAGACAGCCAGGAUCACCUGCUCAGGAGAUGUACUGGCAAAAAAAUAUGCUCGGUGGUUCCAGCAGAAGCCAGGCCAGGCCCCUGUGCUGGUGAUUUAUAAAGACAGUGAGCGGCCCUCAGGGAUCCCUGAGCGAUUCUCCGGCUCCAGCUCAGGGACCACAGUCACCUUGACCAUCAGCGGGGCCCAGGUUGAGGAUGAGGCUGACUAUUACUGUUACUCUGCGGCUGACAACAAUCU